UCUCCGUUGGUGAACCAGCGGAGGGAUCAUUACAGAGUUGCAAAACUCCCUAAACACUUGUGAACCUACCCGUAUCGUUGCUUCGGUGGGCGGCCCCAGGGCGGGGCCGUAGCCUUUACAGGCGCCCGCCGAAGGUUAUAAACGCUAUAUUUUAUUGACGCUCUGAGUAAACUUUUAAUAAGUUAAAACUUUCAACAACGGAUCUCUUGGUUCUGGCAUCGAUGAAGAACGCAGC
rnacentral:misc_RNA from 1 species